rnacentral:rRNA from 1 species
AUGUUUUUUGUCAUUUAUGUUUGUAUGCAGGAAAGCCAACAGGUCCAACAUUUAUGUGGGUUUAUGACCAGCUCAUCUGAUGUCAACUUUUAUCUCUAUGGAUGUUCUGUAUUUUUGCCAGAGCUGGAGGAGAUUAGGGAGAUCAGCAAAAUCUGGUGGGAGCUGGCCGGUGAAGUUCUGGCCCCUGAGGAAUCUGUGAAGAUGUUCGGAACAGCGCAAAAGUACUGGCCUAGCUCCUCCUCAGCAGUCCCAAGCAAAGAAGACCAAACUGGGAGAAGCAAAGAGACGAAAAAAAGGGAAGGAGGAGAAAGAGCAGCAAAAUUAAGCCUGGGAAGCAAAAGGCAUGCUCUGCUUAUCACAACAGUCAUCUCUCUUUCUAGACCAGCGAGCCGAACGCAGAGGAGAGGGGAGGGGAAUCGCCCGAUGGCAGAGAUGGGGCAAUGUAUUUGCAGCUGCUGA